AUAGAUAUAGAACUAUUUAUUAUAGUGUAUUUUAUCUUUUUUUUAUUUAUUUAAAUUGAAAGAAAUUUUAAUCAGAUUGUGAUGAGAAGUAGAUUUGAACUCUAUAUAAAGAGGUAUUAGUUCUACCACCUUCUCAUGUGCGUUCUAGUGAAGAAUUACCAUUUGUUUCACACCAGAGAUUGUCUAGGACAGGUGGAGAAACCUGAUUACUCAAGUUCGAUUAGUGACGUUUAUAUCGCGGCCGGGCUUCUUACUUUUGCAGAUUGAUUAAAAAUUCAUUCUCUAUGUCACUCUGUAAGUUAUAGUUUAUUUUGUUUAUGAUCUGAUCUGGGUAUGAGUAUGCAUUUAGUUUUGUUGUUUUUACAUACAAAUAAAUAUAGACUUUUUUUUGUAUUUGGCCUCAUCAAAAAUAUUAUUUUCACAAAUAAUCCCACUAAAUUUAUAAUUCCAAAUUUGACCCUAUUCCCGUCAUGCAGGCACCACGUAAGCGCUACGUGAGUAAAGGAAUAAGUUGAAUACGAUAAUCAAUUCACGGUACUAAAUGGUUCACCAUGUCUACGAGAAUGUAAGUAUGGAACACGGUCAACCAUUCAUCGUGUUUGAACGCGCUGAAUGAUUCACCGUGUUCAACUUAACGCCCCAGCCCGCUUGUGUGUCGCUGAUGUGGCGUCUGCGUGGCAGGAAUAAAGCCAAAUUGUAGUUAUAAAUUUGAUAGGACUAUUUAUGAAAAAAAAAAAAUUGAGGGGAACAAAUGCAAAAAAAGCACUACAAAUAUAGAUGGAUCCAUCAAUUGGCAUCAGAGUAUAGAAUGAUAAAUUAAAUAUUAUAUGUAUGCAUUAAGUAUUUGGAUCAAAUGAUAAUAAAUUUAGGAUUUUUGUAAUAAAAAGAGUUUA
rnacentral:lncRNA from 1 species